rnacentral:snRNA from 2 species
ACCAGUGGUGUAUUUACCUUUAUCUGUUAUUAUCAGUUUAAUAUCUGAUAUGUGGAUUAUAUGUUCACAACGAUAUUAGAUUUAUUUUUUGUGGGAAAGAGUCCAUCACAGUGGCUUGCUGCUGAGGCUCCCAUGUGUCGUCUAGGCGUUGCACUAUAGCCUAGGUUUGGCGCACACCAA